rnacentral:lncRNA from 1 species
UAAAAUAAACUUUUUAGGUAAAAUUAUACAAAUAUUCCAUAAUUAUAAACAUAAUUAUAAUUAGGGUUCAGCUAAUUAUGUUUAUAAUUAUAGAAUAUUUAUAUACAUACAUAAGUACAUACAUGCCUAUAUAUAUAUAUAUAUUUAUAUAUAUACCUACAUACAUACAUACAUAUAUAUAUAUAUAUAUAUAUAUAUAUAUAUAUAUAUAUAUAUAUAUAUAUAUAUAUAAGAAAAAGGGACAGGCAAACAGGUUGUUUGACUGCAUACCAAAAAAAAUAGAAAUAGCAGUCAAGAAUGCUUAUUUCUAUCAAAGUUGGACUCCGGGCAUGACAAACCCUGUAAUUCACAUAUGCAAAACAGAAGGAAUAGAUAACGAAUACGAAGUCUGGCGGUUAUCUGUGAACAUCAUGUUUCUGGAUUAUAAACAUAUUGAAUAUAUAUUCCAUAUAUAUUUUUGAUAUAUAUUUCAUAUACAUUGCAUAUAUAUUUCACAUCCUUCUUCAGCACAGCUUUCCAUUGAAAAAGAUUUAUCAUAGAUUUAUCAAAUUCUACGUACCUCAAACCUUCUGACCAUGCGACAUCAAAAUAUUUGAAGAAAGUGAGCAAAAGCUAAACCUACAUAGACGUUUGAAUUCGUAAAUCUUCCCUCCAAAAUUUUGCCAUGCGCAUUACAAAAAUAGUUCCAUAAGAUGGGGAACAAUUAGGUUGUCAUAAGGGAGUGAAAAAUCCAAAUAGUAAUAUAAUAAUAAGAGUAAAUAAUUUCUAUAAAGGCUUUUAAAAAAAACCCAAUUAUAUACUGGUAGAAUUCGGUAUGUAAAUAUAGCCGAUUACCGGCAGGAACUUCUGUAAAGUUCAGUAUAUAUAUUGUAUAUAAGAAAAAGGGACAGGCAAACAGGUUGUUUGACCGCAUACCGAAAAAAUAGAAAUAGCAGUCAAGAAUGCUUAUUUCUAUCAAAGUUGGACUCCGGGCAUGACAAACCCUGUAAUUCACAUAUGCAAAACAGAAGGAAUAGAUAACGAAUACGAAGUCUGGCGGUUAUCUGUGAACAUCAUGUUUCUGGAUUAUAAACAUAUUGAAUAUAUAUUCCAUAUAUAUUUUUGAUAUAUAUAUACCAACAUACAUACAUACAUAUAUAUAUAUAUAUAUAAGUAUAUUUACACGAUUAUAUAUGUAUAUAUUUAUUUAUAUUCAUAUAUAUAUACUGCUAUACCCAUAGGCUUAUGCGCAAUCAAGCACUCAGACACAGAGACGCAUACAGACACACACACACCAGAUAAACACAUAUAGUCACGCACAAACACACGCAUACACAUGCACACUUACUGGAAUAGUUAUACGUCCAUACAUAGGAAAUAAUAAAAGAUAUGAGCAAUUGAAUAUAAUCAUAAUAUAAUCAUUAUAUAAUCAUUUAAUAAUAUAUACUGAUGAAUGAUAUAAAAUGAUAAAAGAAAUAUAUUUAUAUAUGUAAAUAUGCAUUGCAUGAAGUAUGCAAGAUACGUUACAUAAUAUGCACAAUACAAAAUACUGCAGACGCACGUAUACAGACACACAUAUGCACGCACGCACACACACAUACACACACAUAUACUCAUAUAUGUUUGUAUGCCUCAUAUAUAAUAUUUAUAUUGUUAGAAUAUACAAUUAGAUGCAUAUAUGCAUAUAUAUAGAUAUAGAUAUAAUAUAGAUAGAUAUAGAUAUAAAUAUAUAUUCAUAUAUACAUAUAUAUGUAAAUAGAUACACACACAUACACACACGCCCAUAUAUAUAUAUAUAUAUAUAUAUAUAUAUAUAUAUAUAUAUAUAUAUAUAUAUAUAUAAUUAAUAACGUAAUGUAGAAUAUUUUAAAAAUGAUGAAGUAAUAAAAUAUCUUCGAAGAUUGCUAUAUAUAUAUAUAUAUAUAUAAUAUAACAUGAUGUAGAAUAUUUAAAAUGAUGAAGUAAUAAAAUAUCUUCGAAGAUUGCUACAUGAAAUUAUAAAUAAGAAACGUUUCUAAUGAAAGAGAUAAAAUACGGUAUGCAAUGAAAAUAUAUGUGAAACACAUUCACAUAUGCAUAAAAAUAAACAGAGAGAAACAAUAAAAAUAUUGGGAUAAUUAUCCUUGAAUGGAUUUGUUACUUUUAUAGUAUUAGAAGUGUUAGAAUUGUUAUAUUGUUAACUUAGUUGUGGAGACACUUUCAAUAUGCACAAACGUAGCUAUGCGUAAUGAAGCCGUAUAGUCCCACAUGUUUGUCAUAGAAUAUUGGUUUCAAAUUUUGGCUCAAGCACUGCAAGCUCCUGUGUGGGAGUAAGACGAUUUCAUCGACCCCAGUGCUCAACUGGUACUUAUUUUAUCGAGCCCGAAGGAUGAAAGGCAAACUCAUCUUGACGUAUUUUGUACCCAGAACUUAAAGAUGGACGAAAUACCGUUAAGCAUUUUUCCCGUUUUUGCUAACGAUACUACUAGCUCGCCACCCUAGUUUGUUAUAAAAUAUUAAUUUUCAAUUAAGGAAUAUAUGCGUACAUACAUACACACACACACACACACGUACACACGCACUUAUACACCUACACAUAAAUUAUACAAGUAUGUAUAUAUGUAUUUACAUAUGUGUACAUGUGUGUGUGUCUGUGUGUAUACAUACACGAAAGAAAAGUUUGAAGUGGUUAUUUUCUUAUUAGUCAAAAAGGAAUAUUCAAAUAUGAUUCAGGAAACAUUUAAAACACUGUAAAACGUCUGAGAUAAUUUUGGAGGCGCUGAAAACACAUCUAGCAUUGUAUUUUCUAGCAACUGUCAGAAUUUGGGUGGCUUGGAAACUUAUAUAAACUUGAAAGACCACAAUAAUAACCUUUUCAUGAAUGCCACGUGUGAACUAGUAAAUUCAGCAAAGAGUGAAAUACGAAAAUUUAGAAAACUUAUUUUACGUUUCAUUAAUCAAAAAGAAUCCAAGCUACUGGUCUUCUUUUAUCAAAUAAUAGCGCACCAGUAAUCAUGUUGAUUUAUAAAAUAUAGAAUAACCAAACUUAACCUAGUUUUCUAUAAGUGAGUUUUACCAUUUUAUUACAAUUGCGUCGAAAAUCUUUAGCUGUAGCUAGUUUAUUGCUGUGGGUAUUUGACAGCGUGGAUGCUUGAGAGAGAUUAAUUCUUUAUAUACUAGACUAGCUAAAACGAAAAUCUCAUUUAGAAUUAAGUCUGUAUAGAGAAGAUAGUCGGAUCAUAUUUUCACUCUCUAAUGACAAUCGACUAGAUAUAUUCAAAGAAGACUUAAUACGUACAUUGAGAGAAUUUAGCCCCACAUCACUAAUAUUAAUAUUUUUAAUACUUUUAUCACCAAUUCAAAGCUAAACAAAGCAAAUAUUCUCUAUACUGAAAACCGAAUGAAGGGCCCCAUAUUUAAAUGAGCGAGCCAGUUAUGUUCCCGUAGUAUUGUAAUAUCUUGUUCGCAACAAUCAGCAGCUGGAUUUCCAGUAUGCUGUUUGCUGUGGAAUCCUUCAAUAGUGACUCGCUAACAAAACCGCUAGAGCGCCAGAGAUAUUCCUGUGCACAUUUAGAUAUAAUCUUUUACGUUUCGUGGUGAAAUUCAGCCGAGGUUCACUUUGCCUGUUCUGGGGUAGAAAAAAUAUAAUGCCAUAUAUAUAUAUAUAUAUAGUCUAUAACAUCGACUAUUAUAUCUCCCGACCACCAAAGUUUUGGCUUUGCAAAUAAGCUAUGCAUUAUAGCCACUGUAUUUAGAAACAAAAUAUGAAUUACACAGCAUAAUAAAAUGAUAUGUAAAUUCGCAUUGUUAGAUAACUAGUCCAGUUCAUCAGGUGAUGUUCUACCGAACAUAUAUAUAUAAUGUGAUAAUGUGUAUAUGUGUGUGUGUGUCUGUGUUUGUGACUGUGUGUGUGUAUAUGUGUGUGUGUGUUUUUGGUGUACAUCGAUUACAAGAGAUGUACCAGUAUCUUAAGAAAAUAAACUUAUGAACAUGUUACAAAACAACUCUAAUAUUUUCCAUUCAGAAAAGAUUUUUACUUAAUGUUUUAUAUUCGUUAUGUAUUUUAUGAAUACUAAAUAAUAUCUUUUAUGACUGAUUUCAUGUCUCCUGAAAUUUGCGCUAUAUUCUGUAUACUGUGUGGUAUGAUUAUGUAUAUAUAUAUGGGCGUAUAUACAUUCAUACAUACACUCAUAUAUUUAUGUCUCUCACUCUUUCCCUCUCUCUCUCCCUCUCGAUAUAUAUAUAUGCCACACAAACAGGAGAACCCAGUCAUGGCUGUCAGACAAUUUCUACGAC